GUGGGGAAUAUUGGACAAUGGGGGGAACCCUGAUCCAGCCAUGCCGCGUGUGUGAAGAAGGCCUUUUGGUUGUAAAGCACUUUAAGCGAGGAGGAGGCUACCGAGAUUAAUACUCUUGGAUAGUGGACGUUACUCGCAGAAUAAGCACCGGCUAACUCUGUGCCAGCAGCCGCGGUAAUACAGAGGGUGCAAGCGUUAAUCGGAUUUACGGGGCGUAAAGCGCGCGUAGGUGGCCAAUUAAGUCAAAUGUGAAAUCCCCGAGCUUAACUUGGGAAUUGCAUUCGAUACUGGUUGGCUAGAGGAUGGGAGAGGAUGGUAGAAUUCCAGGUGUAGCGGUGAAAUGCGUAGAGAUCUGGAGGAAUACCGAUGGCGAAGGCAGCCAUCUGGCCUAAUACUGACACUGAGGUGCGAAAGCAUGGGGAGCAAACAGGAUUAGAUACCCCAGUAGUCC
rnacentral:rRNA from 1 species